UGUCGUCACUUCCGCGUUCACGACGUUGCCAAAUCGACCAUUAUUUCAUCUGCGAAAGAAAAAGUAUUGCGGUGUAGUGUUGUACUUGAGCUGUAUCGUGUUAGUUAAAAUAGUUGUGUUGUGCUGUGAAAGAAUAAAUUAUGACAAAUUUGAUAAAAAAUAUAGAGCGACUGCCUUGGGCAUUCGUUAAAUAACACACACUCUUAUACGAGGUGAAUACCAGGCUGCUAAUCAAUCUUUACAAAUAAAAUCUACCGUGUUUUUUCCAUACAAUAGAAGAUUAGCUGAUGUGAAUUGAACACACCUUGAAACACAGAAAAUUGAAAGAGAAAAACACUGAGAAAAAGAAAACAUAUAUAAUAUGCAGCGGAUAUGGUUUAUAGAGAACAAAGAGGACGGGGAAUACAAGCAGCAAGAGAAGCCACGUGAGACUAACUUCAUCGAGGUGGCAACUGAACAUACAUCAGACAUGAGGGGAUCUAAAAGAGAUUGGAUUUUUAGAGUCCAAGUACAUAAAGUAGAAAAAAAUGAAGUUUUGUAUGUAGUGGGUAAUUUACCUGAACUGGGUGCUUGGAAUCACAAUCAGGCAAUUCAAUUAUCACAAGAGCAUGGCAGUCGGGAUUCUCCUAUACUUUUUGACAGUAAUAGUAGUGGAGAAUUUUAUAGUGACGAUGGACAUGACAAUGCUGGAGAUAACUCAUUUGGUGAUAUAGAUGAUGAAGGUGGAAGAAUAUUUUCACAAAAAGUUGCACUUCCCAUUGAUGCUGAUGUAGAAUUCCGAUAUUUUGUUGCCGUCAUCUGUCAUUCUAAUGGUACUAAAAAUUCGGCCAAGACUCUUAUUAUUCGUAGAUGGGAGACUCAUAUGACACCACGCUUUAUUAAAAAAAAUGCACCUAGCAAUUUUAGUAGUGACACAUUGCCUGAUCCAGAUAAAUUCGGUUAUUAUAAUGGCUACUGUAAAAUUGAACGAGGCUGGUUGACCGAUGAAACUGUGAUACAAUUUAAGCUUUUUAAUAAUCCAAUUAAGUUAUGGAAAAAUCGACUACAAAAUAGAAAAGUUCACAUUAAAAUGACACCUGUAAAUUUAAUUAGACACAAUUCUUUAGAAUUGCAACAAUUUGGUGGUGAUUGUGUAGAUGAUAGUCUUUCUAUGGAUACGCAAGAUAUUAUUGAUCAACCUGCCUUUAGUAUUACAGAAGUUGCGGUAAUGAAUGAUGAAGAAGCUCGUUUCAAGAUACAAGAACAAUUUGGUCGAGCUUACAAUGAAGACGAAUUUAUUAUCUUCAAUGUUGCAGUUCGAUAUCCUGAAACUAUUGCUUAUUUGGUGGACUACUACGUAUACAGCUCAAGAUGUUUUCCAGGAGAACCACCAAGUCAUAUCGGUUUCAGCUAUAUUUUACCUAGUACAUUACAAUCUAGCGUUGGGCUUCUAACAGUACCAAUUACAAGCACAAAGCAUAGACCAAUUGGACAACUUACAUUAGAAUAUGUUGUGAUAAAAUCAAUUCCAGAUUAUCCAUGGGAUAUGAAUAUUUCAUAUGCUAAACAUUGGGAACAACGGUGGUCUGGCCUAGAUGUAGGACAUAGGGGAUUAGGUACAUCUUUUCAAACAAAAAACUGUGCUAAUGUGCGUGAAAAUACAAUAGCUUCUUUAAAGACUGCAUCAUAUCAUGGAGCUGAUAUGGUUGAAUUUGAUGUUCAAUUAUCUAAAGAUCACAUACCGGUCAUUUACCACGAUUUUUAUGUAUCUAUUUCAUUAAAACGCAAGAAACAAAUAGAAGCUAUGGAUAUGCUAGAAAUACCUGUUAAGGAUCUUACAUUAGAACAACUACAUCUAUUAAAGGUGUAUCAUGUGGCUGAAGGUCGAGAAAAAAAUCCAAGAUUUUUUGAUGAAGAUUUAGAAGAUCAUCAACCUUUUCCUACGCUUCAAACUGUACUUCAAGAAUUAGAACAACAUGUCGGCUGUAAUAUCGAAAUUAAAUGGACUAUGCAAUUAAAGGACGGCACAUUCGAGCUUAAUCAUCCUUUCGAUCUUAAUAUGUAUUUGGACAUUAUAUUGAAAGUCGUUCUAGAAUAUGGAGGGGAUAGGAAAAUUGUUUUUUCAUCAUUCAAUCCAGAUAUUUGUGCCAUGAUUCGUCUUAAACAAAAUAAAUAUCCAGUAGUAUUUUUAACACAAGGUGUAACUUCAAAAUAUCCUACUUAUCAUGAUCCGAGAUGUCAAACGAUACCAAUGGCUGUUAGACAUGCAUUAGCAGCUGAUAUCUUAGGAAUUAAUGUUCAUACUGAAGAUAUUCUUAGAGAUCCCUCACAAGUCAAAUUUGUAAAGGAUGCUGGAUUAAUUAUUUUUUGUUGGGGAGAUGACAAUAAUGAUAAAGAUACAAUUCAACAUUUAAAGAAACUUGGUUUGCAUGCAGUUAUUUAUGAUAAAAUUGAUGAAUAUAAUGCAAAAGAAGUCAAGGAAAGCAUAUUUUUAGUUGAUGCGAGAGAAAAUCAAAAGGCGCUAAUUGCUUUAGCACAAUGUAAUCAGAGUUGUGCACCUCAACCUCAAAUUACUAAUUCUCUAAAUUCAGAAAAGGAUUAUUAUAUGGACAUCGAUAAAUCACGAAAUAUGAUCACAACUACAUCAACUACAACUUCAUUUGCAUCUUUUGGUAAGAAUAGUAUUGGUGACGAUAAUAUAUAUCCAAUGUCAACUGUUAAAUUACCAAGUACAUGUGACCAUCAGGAGAGCAAAGAGAUCAGUGAAAUGACGAAAGAUUUUAGCGUUUGUGCAAAGUCUUUUGGCCACUCAGUAAAAGCAAAAAGUAUCUCAGACUUAGUUUGCGGUCAAACGACAACGUUAUCAGAGAUCUAUGGAGAGGAUGACACUGCGAAAGACUGUCUUUGAUGUUUUUCUUUUAAGAAGCCGUUUAUGUCAUGGUUCUGAUUCAGAAAAUAUUAUCUACAAAAGACCACAAGAAGAAAAAAAACCGAAGAAAAUGUUUUGUAACUUGUAAUUUACUAUAAUAUUUACACCAAAGGGGUUAAACAAUUUUAGUUUCCCUAACAGUCCUAGGAUCCAUAACAUUGGAUCAUCUUAACGGCCAUUACAUGGAAUAUAUUUAUAUAUUAAUGCACAAGAAAGAUGACUGAUUGUAUUUUUCACAUCAUUUAUAUCAUUCCUACAAUCGGUCAAUUUCAUAUUAUGUCUUACUUAAAACUCUAUACAAUGGUAAUUAUGAGUCCAAUGGCUGUAGAAAAAGAUGUCUACUUCUGUUACUCUGCCUAUGGCAGAUGAAUAAGGAGUUGCAAGUUUUUAGUACAAAUAUUCUCAAUAUUUUCAUUUAGUUCAUAAAAAGAAGUCACCCCUCUCAUUUUUUCUUUUAAUUAUAUACUAAUUUCAAAAAAUGAAAAUUGACAGAAAUAUCUAUAUAAUAUAACACAAAUAUAUAACAUCAUGAAUAUAUUCUCUUUUUUAAGUUAUCAAAAAAAAAAUUAAAAAAAAUAAGCGAUUGUUUUUCGACAGUUUGAAAUGUUGAUAAAAGUUGUGAAGUAAUUAUUAUGUCAUAUUCACUUAUUUAUGUUUCAAAUUAUUUUUAAUGCAGCAUUAGAAAUUGAAUCAUGAAAAAAGAAUUAUGUGUAACAUUAGUAUAAUUAUAAAAAAGCGCUUUUUUCCAUAUUUAUAAUAAUAUGAUGAUUGUUACAAUUUAUUCAUCUAUGUAUAAUAGUUAUCUUAAAAAAUUAAAAAUCGAUUUUCUUUUAUAUAAAUAAGAACACAAUUGUGAAAUUAACAAAUUUUUAAAAAUCAUUCAUUUGCUUUAUAGAUUUUUUCUGUUCAGAUUCUAAUACCUGAUUAACUUUUUAAUAAACUGCAUCAGUGACAAAAUAAGUAUGUAGUACGCGAAUAUCUUUUCAAAGUUAUUGAACAGAGAAGAUGAUUUAUACCGUUAUACCGCAUUGGUAGUAUGCUAUACAAUUAAAGAGAGCGAUUGUAUCAAUCGUUAUGAUUCUGGCAAUAUACAGAAUAUCUGUUGAUGGUUUAGAGAAGUAUACCACAGAUAUGUUAUGGGAUCACAUAUGUAAGUGCACACAUGUAGUGCAUUAAGGGGGGUGGUUACUGAUCUUUUCUAUUGUCAUAGAGGCUAUGCAUUAUAAUAAACCAGUUGAUAGAUAUAAAUCGGUUCGACAAGUUUAUAAUUAAAAUACAUUGAUAGACCUUUGCAAAUUCUGACAUGCAUAAGUUAAUACAUUAUAGUCUUCAAGUGUAUAAUAUGAUAACAUCAUAUAUAUUUCAGAUUUCUAA
rnacentral:misc_RNA from 1 species